rnacentral:lncRNA from 1 species
AUGAGGUGCUCAGAAGCAUUAAUCUUGAUUUCAUAAAUUCAAUUUAGGAGUUGAAGAUGAGUCUAAGAUAUUUGCAUUCUACCCCUUCAUUUAUUUUGAUAAUGUUUCACAUUUAUAAAAUAUUUCUAUAUUUAUAUAGGACACAAGAGGUGCUGUAGAAACGACUGUCAAUACAUCAGCAGAAGAUGAAUCCAAGGUAUGCUUAAAAUAUGCAUUGUCUGCAUUUAUUUGUUUUGCUUUAAAUUUACUUUAACAAGAUUUUUAUAUUUUGUAUACAGAACACAAAUGAUCCUAGAGAAAUGGAUGAAAAUAAAUCAGCAAAAAAUCAAUUCAAGGCAUCAUUGCCUGCAUUUGGUUAUUUUGGUACUUUGCAACAUUAUAAUAUUUUUAUUCAUUUAACGCAUAAUAAAGAAUUUGAUGCUGAAAAGAUUAUAAACACAUCAGAAGAUUAUCAAGCAGAAAUGAAAGAAAAUAAAUCACCACAAGAUGCAUCAAAGGUAGAAUUCUCUGCUUUUAUUUCGUUUUCUAAUGUUGCAACAUUAUAACAUAUUUAUACAUUAUAUACAGGACAAAGAAUGUGAUGCUGAAAAGAUUUUAAAUCCAUUAGAACAUAAUGUGGAUAACUCAAAGUCGAAUCAGCAAAAUUAGUCUCUAGUCUACAUUCAUAAAGCAGUAACAGAAGAAAGAAAAGCUGAACAAAAUUUAUCAGACUCGCAAGUUACUAUUCCUGAUGAGCUUUUACCGAGUCUUAAUGCAUAUGUUAAUCAAGAAAGAAGUCUAAUAGUACAUCCAUUGGAAAAUGAAGCACAACAAAUGCCCAUGCAUAUUUCAAGGAUUAAACGAGAGUCACCAUUCACAAUGAAUUUUGGUUCAGCAUCUGGUUAGUACACUAACAUAUAUUAUAUGGUUAACAACUUUAUUUACUUUAUAUUAUUAUGACAUCUAAUAGCUAAGAAGUAUGACAUGUAAUCUGUAAAUAUUUCUUCUUAUUAUAUAAUGGCUAAGAAGUAUGACAUGUAAUCUGUAAAUAUGCACCAAUACAUUAGUGACACUUUUUUUAUAUGAUAAAAUUUAGAUUUGUAUUUGUUUUGAUUACUACUAAGAUUUGUUAUUGAUGUUAUGUUAUUUUUGUUAUUCAUUAGAUAUUGAUUAUGACAAGUAUGUUAUUUGGAAUAAUUCUGAACAAUUAAAAUACAUAAUUUUUUUGUUAGCUUGAAAUCAUUUUUAUAUUUUGUUGUUUGAUAACUUCAAUAUGUAUCAGUGAUGUAUUCACAAUAUACACAUGAUACAAUUAUGUAUACAUUUUUGUAUGGUAAUUUUCAGAUGUAUUUUAUAAAUACAUCUAUUUUAUUAUUAUGAAAUAUCAUUGCCUUUUUAAUUUAUUUUUGGUAUUUUUUUUUUUUUAUACUUUUCACAACUUAACAAUAAAUGAGGCACAAAAGAGGAGCGCAAAAUAUUCAAUCAAAAGCAUCCAUUCGUAUCUCAUUCGAUUAAUGAUAUAGAAGACACUAAGGUUACCAACAAGUUCCCGAAGUGUCUUUCUAUGUACCUUCUUAAAUUUCAUGCGAAGAGGUAUAUACGUUAGGACCUAAUUGUAAUAAUAUUUAAAUAUAAGUUUUUGUUAAUGAUGAGUCACUAUAUUUAAUGAUUGAACAGAAGCAACAAUGAAGAACACUAUAAGAAGGGCAAGUCCAAAAUACCAGUAAUCAAUUUUGGAGUUUUAUUUGUGAAAAACAAGAAUUGGUUCUACAUUAUGGGCACUCCGGGACAAUGAUGGUUUGAUGAGGUAAGUUUUGUACUAUUAAGUGAAAUUUUUUUAUAUUUGGAACGAAACUUAUUUCAACGUUACAUACGUAUAUUCGUAUAUACAUAUGUAAAUGCUUGUUAUGAUGUAGUUGCAUAUGUAUAUUUUUAUAUACAUAUACUGUUAUUCUAUAUGUUUUUAUAUAUGUAUAUGGUAUUACAUAUGUAGUGUUACCUGCAAUGAGUUUUAAUUUUAUUAUUUAAUUUUAAAUAUGAAUUUUAUUGUAAUGCAGCAAAUUGAUGUAUGCUUCUACUAUCUGCGAAAGAAACCUAAGUAUGAUCCAAAUAGUUCAUACAAGUACUACACUGUUGACUGCAAUUUCAUGAACAUUAUAAACAGUGUGCUAGAUGUGUAUAGAAUUGAUGAUGCAUCUCUUAAUGCUCGUGGAAAGGAAUACCAUCUGAAUGAGUACAUAAAUGAAUUCCGCAUGCAUGCUACAGUGUCUUGGCAUACGGUUGAUCAUAUUUUCAUUUCUGUCAACGUGAAGUCCAAACAUAAUUGGGUUCUUGCGGUUAUAUCUUUCAAUGAUAGAUGCAUUUAUGUAUAUGAUUCUUUGUCGUCUGCUGGUCAUGAUGCUUGCUGAAGUUGAAAAGUUAUCUGAGGUUAUACCUAUAUGUCUCGUUGUAUGUAAAUUUUAUGAGAAGAAGGGUAUUGAUAUUGCUAAUCAUCCAAAUUACAAAUCCUAUGAUAAGAUGGAUCUAUUUGAUGUUUAUAUUGUGGAGGAUUCGCCUCAACAACCAAGUGGCAGCUUGUAAGUAAUGAAUAUGUAUAUUAAUUGUAUAUAUACAUAUAUAUUAUUUUUAUAGAACAGAUUCUUACUUCUUUAAAUAUGUAUUUGUAGGAAUUGUGGUUUAUAUAUGGUGACAUAUGCCGAAUGUCUUAUUUUUGGUAAUCUUGUUCCACGCAUUGAUUUUGAUCCAGAUCUGAUUCGUACGAGAUAUGCUUCAAUUUUGUGGGAUUAUGUAUGAAGAAAGAAAAAGAGAAGGCAUAAAGUGAUGAUGAAACACCAAUGAGAACUCCUCGUGAAUUUGGUAUAAUAGAAGAUACUGAAGUGCAUGAAAUUUGAU